GAUGAACGCUGGCGGCGUGCUUAACACAUGCAAGUCGAACGAAGCACUUUGGACAGAUUCUUCGGAUGAAGUCCCUGGUGACUGAGUGGCGGACGGGUGAGUAACGCGUGGGUAACCUGCCUCAUACAGGGGGAUAACAGUUAGAAAUGACUGCUAAUACCGCAUAAGACCACAGUACCGCAUGGUACAGGGGUAAAAACUCCGGUGGUAUGAGAUGGACCCGCGUCUGAUUAGCUGGUUGGUGGGGUAACGCCUACCAAGGCGACGAUCAGUAGCCGGCCUGAGAGGGCGACCGGCCACAUUGGGACUGAGACACGGCCCAAACUCCUACGGGAGCAGCAGGUGGGAAUAUGCACAAUGGGCAAAGCCUGAUGCAGCGACGCCGCGUGAGCGA
rnacentral:rRNA from 1 species